rnacentral:rRNA from 1 species
UACGGAGGGUGCGAGCGUUGUCCGGAAUCACUGGGCGUAAAGGGCGCGUAGGCGGCGCGGCAAGCGCGCGGUGAAAGCCCGGGGCUCAACCCCGGGUCGGCCGUGCGGACUGCCGGGCUCGAGCACCGUAGGGGCAGGCGGAAUUCCGGGUGUAGCGGUGGAAUGCGUAGAGAUCCGGAAGAACACCGGUGGCGAAGGCGGCCUGCUGGGCGGUAUGCUGACGCUGAGGCGCGACAGCGUGGGGAGCAAACAGG